rnacentral:rRNA from 1 species
UAGGGAAUCUUCCACAAUGGACGCAAGUCUGAUGGAGCAACGCCGCGUGAGUGAAGAAGGCUUUCGGGUCGUAAAACUCUGUUAUUGAAGAAGAACGUGUGUGACAGUAACUGGUCAUGCAGUGACGGUAUUCAAUCAGAAAGUCACGGCUAACUACGUGCCAGCAGCCGCGGUAAUACGUAGGUGGCAAGCGUUGUCCGGAUUUAUUGGGCGUAAAGCGAGUGCAGGCGGUCUUUUAAGUCUGAUGUGAAAGCCUUCGGCUUAACCGAAGAAGGGCAUCGGAAACUGGGAGACUUGAGUGCAGAAGAGGAGAGUGGAACUCCAUGUGUAGCGGUGAAAUGCGUAGAUAUAUGGAAGAACACCAGUGGCGAAGGCGGCUCUCUGGUCUGUAACUGACGCUGAGGCUCGAAAGCAUGGGUAGCGAACAGGAUUAGAUACCCUGGUAGUCCAUGCCGUAAACGAUGAGCGCUAGGUGUUGGGGA